CCCUUAGAUGUCCUGGGCCGCACGCGCGUUACACUGAUGCAUUCAACGAGCUUAUAACCUUGCCGAGAGGCCUGGGCAAUCUUGUUAACGUGCAUCGUGAUAGGGAUAGAUUAUUGAAAUUAUUAAUCUUGAACGAGGAAUUCCUAGUAAACGCAGAUCAUCAAUCUGCAUUGAUUACGUCCCUGCCCUUUGUACACACCGCCCGUCGCACCUACCGAUUGGAUGGUCCGGUGAAGCCUCGGGAUUGUGGUUCUUGCCGCUUUAUUGUGGCGUGACCGCGAGAACUUGUCUAAACCUUAUCAUCUAGAGGAAGGUGAAGUCGUAACA
rnacentral:rRNA from 1 species